UACGUAGGGUGCAAGCGUUGUCCGGAAUCAUUGGGCGUAAAGCGUACCGAUAGGUGGUUUACAAAGUCAGAGGUGAAAUCUCAAGGCUCAACCUUGAGUCUGUCCUUUGAUACUUGUAAACUAGAGGGGCAAAGAGGAAGCUGGAACGAACGGUGUAGUAGUGAAAUGCGUUGAUAUCGUUCGGAACACCAAUAGCGUAGGCAGGCUUCUGGGUGCCACCUGACACUGCUAGGACGAAAGCGUGGGAGCGAAUGGG
rnacentral:rRNA from 1 species